UGCGUUCCAGACACUAUCCGAAAUGGUAAAGAAGUGUCGCGCGCAUGGCGCAAUUCGUGACAAUAAAAUUCUAAAUAUUCCAUUACCGUACUUCGAAGCAUGUCAACCGCUGUUUAAAAUCAAUUUUUACGCCAUUUUUCUCGUAGAAAAGCGAUAAUAUUCCGACAGGGAAUCUCCUUUUCGGCAAACAGAGGAAAAAAUCGCAAAGGCGGGGGCGGUCGGGUCACGCGCAUAAGCCCAGAGUCCCUUGAUCGGCCACUUGAGAAAGGCGAUAAUGUGUUUCAGCCUGGGGCUGGAAUGACGACAUUCUGUUUUUUCCCGGGCUCUGAGAGCCUAUGGAAGACGUGGGAAGUGUCACGUUAGAGCAGAGAUCCUUAGUAAAAGAUAGAGAUGGAAAAGAAGUUCAAGAAAUGGUCAGACAGGCCACUUCCUGUAAAGGAAUCUCUCAGGUUUUGACCUGCCAUUUGAGUUCUGUUAUACUCACAGACACCAUUCAAACAGUUUUAGAAACUUUAGGGUGUUUUCUAUCCAUAUGUAAUAAGUAUAUGCAUAUUCUAGUUACUGGGUAGGAGUGGUAACCAGAUUAAAUCGGGUAUGUUUUUUAUCCAGCCGUGUCAAUACUGCCCCCUAGCCCUAACAGGUUAUUAACUGACUUGCCUAGUAAAAAAAUGAAUUGUUUGAGAAAUACAGAAAUUGGCAGUCCUUCAGAUAUUUGACGAAUAGAUGUCUUUCCCUGGUUAAAAAAGCAAAAUCAACACAUUUCUUGAAUUGUGUAUCAGAGAGUGGUGGUAAUCCAGCCAAUUUCUGGAAAGUGGUCAAAUAUUUGAAACAAAACUCCACCCCCUCAUUGCCCCAGCAGGUUUUGACAGCCUCUGGUCCAAUUCUAGACCAAAUGGAAAUUAGUGAUGAUUUUAAUAAAAAUUUUGCUUCAGCUAGCUACCUGUUUGAAAGGAUAAUCUCUGAAAGUUCAUAUCAUACAACAGAGAGAGUCAUUUAGUCACCUCAGAAAAGAUUGGAGAAAAUGAUGCACUAACAGACUCAUUUUCAUUUCAACCCUUUGAUGUCGGUGAUGUACUAAGUGUUUGCUAAAGAUUGAUGUAAAAGCAGCCGGCCGCGACCGGGAGACCCAUGGGGCGGCGCACAAUUGGCCUAGCGUCGUCCAGGUUAGGGGAGGGUGUGGCCGGCAGGGAUAUCCUUGUCUCAUCGCGUACUAGUGACUCCUGUGGCGGGCCGGGCGCAGUGCACGCUGACAUGGUCGCUAGGUGUAUGGUGUUUCCUCUGACACAUUGGUGCGGCUGGCUUCCGGGUUGGAUGGGCAUUGUGUCAAGAAGCAGUGCGGCUUGGUUGGGUUGUGUUUCGGAGGACGCACGGCUCUCAACCUUCGCCUCUCCCGAGUCCGUACGGGAGUCGCAGUGAUGAGACAAGACUGUAACUUCUACCAAUUGGAUACCACGAAAUUGGGGAUAAAAAGGGGGUUAAAAAAGAAAGAUUGAUGUAAAAAAAAACCUAGGGGCUGAUUCACAUGAUCCUUUCUUACUGCAGCUCUCUGACCCACUUAUUGCAGAACCACUGACCUGUAUUUUUUACUUGACAAUUGCCCUCCCACUACAUAAAGGACUAGAUCCUUCUGAUUUAGUUUACUACCGUCCAAUUACCAAAUUAUUUUUAACGUCUCACUCUAUUCUUAAUACAUUUUAUUUAAUAAAUAAAAAAAAUAAUAAUGCAUUUAAUGAUGCUACCUAUACGAAGACAAUGGGCCAAUGAUUGAAUGGUAUACAGGAUUAGGGGAAGUAGUAACAGAAAGUAAUUGUGAGGAAAGCCCUAAUAGUAAUUGAUGACUCCUAAUGUGCUAGUAGUAAUGUAGCAUGUGUUAAACCAAUGGUGCAUGAACAUGGGCCCCCAAUCGAAGAGAGUUGGCAGCACUGCCAUCAUCACCCCACAACUAUAGAGUGUGAAUACUGCUGUCAGUAGAAUGUACAUUGGCUAGUCAGGAUUAAUGUAUGUCAGUCAUUAUUGCCCUAUAUGGGAAAAAACACAUGAUUUCAAAUCUGGAAAAUCACAUGAUUUCACAUGUGAAAUUUCCACGUUUCGCAAAUGCUGACCAGUAACUAAACUGUAUGGAUAAUAGAAAGAUCAGUCUACCAUUCUAGUGACAUGGACAAUAGAGACUCCUUUUCUCUCCUAUAAAUUGAGUAGCUAAUUAUGUCUUAAGAACAAAAUAUUAUAUAUAUAUAUUUUUUUUUCAAUGAUUGUGAUUUAAGUUAGUAGGAAGUCAAAAUACUAUAGAGGUAUAAAAAAGGAAAAAAAGAAAAGCAAAUCAUGAGUAAGUGCACAACCUUUCCCUUUCCCUGUAACCACAAUUAGUAUUUAACAGUAGUAAACCAUAAGUCAUAGAUAGAGGAUGGUAAGGCAAAACAGUAACUACACUUUAUGGACAAUAGAAAGGUCAUUCUACCAUUCCCGUGACAUGGACAAUAAAGACUAAUUUUCUCUCCUAUAAAUUGAGUAGCUAAUCAUGUCUUAAAAACAAAAUACAAUAAUAUUUGUUUAUCUUGAAAAAAUAAUUGUGAUUGAAGUUAGGAGGAAAUCAAAAUACUCUAAGGUGUAGUUAGUAGUGUUGCAAACAUUAAAACAGCUAUAUCCAGUUUAAACCUCAGCAGUGAACAGUAAGGUUGAGUCAUGGGGAGUAGAUUGGUGACUUGAUGUUAGAAUGUUCCACCCGAGUCAUGUUUUACAUAUUAUCUGAUGAAUAAACUUGUACAGCAGGUAUGUCCAAAAUUAAAUUAAGAUAACAGCCUUGAUCGAUUAUGUGAAAACUGUGGGGGAAAAAAGCUAUAGUCUAAUAUGUAUAUGGAAUUAUAUUGGUGCAGGCUCCUGAUUUUGCCAUAUACCUACAGUAGCAACACCCUUAAACUGUGACUAUGUUCAUGAUGUAACAUGACCUCAUGUGCCAUGAUGCUCAGGGAGAUUAACAGACACUAAACCAUGUGAAUAAGGCUGGGAUUCAAUCAUUGCAGAUUUUCUGCUACUUCUCUCUGGUUGUUUAUGCUAUAUCAGGCAUGUCAACAUAGAUUUUAUGGCAAAAUAUUACACUUUUGAUUGAUAUGAAUAUCAAUGAAGAAUAAAGUCACACACUCCAUCGUACUCUAUUGUAGGCCUACUCAAUGUUUGUUUGAAAAUAGUGCCUUAUCAAUUGUUUUUCUUUUGCAUGAUCAAUAUCCCACCCUUCAUCUCCCUAAGGCCUACUUUUAUUGGCUUUUAAAUAUAUAUAUUUUAUUGUAUUGUGUUUACUUAUUUUGAUGGAAUGUGCAUCUUGUCAAAUGUGUCUUCAGUUCCGAUACGUCUAAUAAAUAUUCCAGUAUCUAAGUAUCAUUAAAUUGCAUGAACACUACAUUUGCACUCAUCUUUAUAAUUGAAUUAUAUGAAUUUGACUUCACUGAAAGUUGAAUGGUUCUGUGUAAUACAGUGUGAAAGGGGAACUGAGAGGGAACACCCUGUAUGAAGGACCUGAUUUGAUGUACAUAGAGUGGGUUCCCCCUCUAACAUUGGGGAAGACCCCCCUCCCACACUCUACACCAUACGCUGUUCUCUAUCCCUACACAGCAUGGUACAGGUUGAAUCACACACCCUUUCAUAUGGUAUAUCUUAAGAUACUACUGUAUAGUGCAUAGCAGUGAGCUACUGGCUCAGUAGCUAAGUGCUCGAUUCAAUCCAUAGAGCUGAAGACCUUUGCUACAUCGCAAUAUACAUUUAAAAGCAAUGUUCCCGCGUUUGUGGAGACUAAACACUGCAUAUGUUAGCUCAAUUGGACAUAAAAAAAAAAAACGUUUAAAAAUGUAACCAGGCAAGUCAGUUAAGAACAAAUUCUUAUUUACAAUGACUGCCUACCCCGGCCAAACCCGGGCGACGCUGGGCCAAUUGCGCACCGCCCUAUGGGACUCCCAAUCACGGCCAAAAGUGGUGCAGCCUGGAUUCAAACCAGGUAGUGCAGUGACACCUCUUGCACUGAGAUGCAGUGUCUUAGACCACUGCGCCACUCGGGAGCCCCAUUACCUGAUCUCCAGUACUACGGAUUGAAUCGAGCCCAAGAACCUUGAACUAAACAGAAACACUAACUUAGAAAUUACCCAGAACUACUCAGGACUAGCCAAAACUUUUAUAUUCCCUUUGUUUUUUACUUUUAUACCAUGAAUUAUGUGCACUGUAUCUACUGUAUGUAUAGGUUAUGCAAGUAUAAAGAUGUAUAUUCAUGUGUACCUUUGACGCUGUAAUAAUCUGAACUAAAUCAAUUUCCU
rnacentral:lncRNA from 1 species